rnacentral:rRNA from 1 species
GACGAACGCUGGCGGCGUGCUUAACACAUGCAAGUCGAACGGAAAGGCCCUGCUUUUGUGGGGUGCUCGAGUGGCGAACGGGUGUGUAACACGUGAGUAACCUGCCCUGGACGUUGGGAUAACUUCAGGAAACGGGGGCUAAUACCGGAUAGGAGCUCCUGCUGCAUGGGGGGGGUUGGAAAGUUUCGGCGGUUGGGGAUGGACGCGCGGCUUAUCAGCUUGUUGGUGGGGUAGUGGCUUACCAAGGCUUUGACGGGUAGCCGGCCUGAGAGGGUGACCGGCCACCUUGGGACUGAGGUACGGCCCAGACUCCUACGGGAGGCAGCAGUGGGGAAUAUUGCACAAUGGGCGGAAGCCUGAUGCAGCAGCGCCGCGUGCGGGAUGACGGCCUUCGGGUUGUAAACCGCUUUCGCCUGUGACGAAGCGUGAGUGACGGUAAUGGGUAAAGAAGCACCGGCUAACUACGUG